rnacentral:rRNA from 1 species
AUGUCUACUGCUUCUGUCAAUGCCAUAGUAGAUUCAAUCGAAACUGAUAUAUCUGAACAACAAUUGUUUCAUUUCGAUCAUAUAACAUUAUUUUUGCUGAAAAAUCACAAUGUUUUCUUCAAGUUUGUGGGUGUUUUCCCUGAUCUGUUUGCAACUUGGCAUGAGAGUCCGUUUAUGCAUGUAGUUAUUUUGGUCCAGAAAUCGACCAUGGAUGAUGCUUCUUAUUUUGAAGAGACUAAGUUCUUCCGAGCCUCCGAUAAAAUAAAUAAAGAGGACUUUAAUGAGAUGAUGCUUCUUAUUUAA